UUGUUUUGGCAACUUGCACACAAAAUUUGGAAAAAUACAAAUAAGAUCAGCAUAACCCCUGCAUAAGGAUGAAGGGUAAAUUUCUGAAGCAUUCCAUAGUAGG